rnacentral:rRNA from 1 species
CCUACGGGAGGCAGCAGUGGGGAAUAUUGCACAAUGGGGGAAACCCUGAUGCAGCGACGCCGCGUGAGCGAUGAAGUAUUUCGGUAUGUAAAGCUCUGUCAGCAGGGAAGAAAAUGACGGUACCUGACUAAUAAGCCCCGUGUAAAUACGUUCCAGCAGCCGCGGUGAUACGUAGGGGGCAGGCGUUAUCCGGAUUUACUGGGUGGAAAGGGAGCGUAGACGGCGGUGCAAGUCAGAUGUGAAAGCCCGGGGCUCAACCCCGGGACUGCAUUUGGAACUGUGCUGCUAGAGUGUCGGAGAGGCAGGCGGAAUUCCUAGUGUAGCGGUGAAAUGCGUAGAUAUUAGGAGGAACACCAGUGGCGAAGGCGGCCCGCUGGACGAUGACUGACGUUGAGGCUCGAAAGCGUGGGGAGCAAACAGGAUUAGAUACCCGAGUAGUC